rnacentral:lncRNA from 1 species
GAAUAUCAGUCCCUGGUGUCCAUCCCUAGGGAGGUGUGUGAGUGCCUUUGUUUUAUCUUUUGUCUUCAAGUCUGGCCCAUAGCGGGAGUGCCUGUCUGUCCCUCAGUUGCAAAGAUUCUUGUUUUCCAUACUGGCUUCUUCCAGGCCUGGCCCUGUGUGACUGCCUAUGCUAUUUCUACCUAACUCAGCUGCCUACAACAUUUUGCCUGAAAUCAGUCAGGUACAAAGACAUUUCUUGGACAGCAUUUCCUGAAAAAAAUAUUUUAAAAGUAAGUUUGAAUCCUGUAUUUUUAAAAAUGCUUUUCUUCACAACUGUAAAGUCAACUGC